rnacentral:rRNA from 1 species
CCGACGGGAGCUUGCUCCCUUAGGUCAGCGGCGGACGGGUGAGUAACACGUGGGUAACCUGCCUGUAAGACUGGGAUAACUCCGGGAAACCGGGGCUAAUACCGGAUGCUUGAUUGAACCGCAUGGUUCAAUCAUAAAAGGUGGCUUUCAGCUACCACUUACAGAUGGACCCGCGGCGCAUUAGCUAGUUGGUGAGGUAACGGCUCACCAAGGCGACGAUGCGUAGCCGACCUGAGAGGGUGAUCGGCCACACUGGGACUGAGACACGGCCCAGACUCCUACGGGAGGCAGCAGUAGGGAAUCUUCCGCAAUGGACGAAAGUCUGACGGAGCAACGCCGCGUGAGUGAUGAAGGUUUUCGGAUCGUAAAACUCUGUUGUUAGGGAAGAACAAGUACCGUUCGAAUAGGGCGGCACCUUGACGGUACCUAACCAGAAAGCCACGGCUAACUACGUGCCAGCAGCCGCGGUAAUACGUAGGUGGCAAGCGUUGUCCGGAAUUAUUGGGCGUAAAGCGCGCGCAGGCGGUUUCUUAAGUCUGAUGUGAAAGCCCCCGGCUCAACCGGGGAGGGUCAUUGGAAACUGGGGAACUUGAGUGCAGAAGAGGAGAGUGGAUUCCACGUGUAGCGGUGAAAUGCGUAGAGAUGUGGAGGAACACCAGUGGCGAAGGCGACUCUCUGGUCUG